rnacentral:rRNA from 1 species
CCCUUAGAUGUCCUGGGCCGCACGCGCGCUACACUGAGUGUCUGAGAUACGAGUCUGCCUGGUCCGGCAAGGUCUAGGUAAUCGCUAAAAGACACAUCAUGCUUGGGAUAGAUUAUUGCAAAUAUUAAUCUUGAACGAGGAAUUCCUAGUAAGCGCAAGUCAACAGCUUGCGUUGAUUACGUCCCUGCCCUUUGUACACACCGCCCGUCGCUACUACUGAUUGGAUGUUUAAGCGAGGUUCUCGAACUGCUAGCGACUUAGCUUCGGUGAGGUCGCAGUGUGGGGAGUGAACCUAGCCUUGGUGUCUAGAGGAAGUAAAAGUCGUAACA